ACAGAGUUAUUUUGGUAAUAUUAUUUUCACUCAAAAUCCUUUUUUCUAUUGAGUAUAACUUUUAUUUACUUCAUUUGAUAUUAUUAUAUAUAUUAUUUUAUCGUUUUGAGUUUAUGCUUGUAUGUGACUUUCAGGACCUGUUCAAGUGUACUGUCACUUUAAGAGUGUAUACUCGUUCGUGUGCGCGCUCAUCGCUCUCUCAGUUCACUUCCUUCUGAGCUGAGAGAAGGUUGUCUCGUGGUUAAUGGAGACAUUAAACGGUUGUUUAAUGAAGAUCAUAAUCACAGAAUGCAUGUUUUCAACACAUUUUCCAUUUGUGCAGAAAAUAAAGACAGUGCCAAGCGGUAAGAGGUUUGGAGUCCUUUAUUGAAAAACAACAACACAACGCAGGACGGAUUCCACUCGUGUGGGACCCGUUACAAUUGCUAGCGGUUAGAUUCGCAUUAUCCAAUUCUCAAUGCACCAAUCAGAUGACUCCUAAUCUACAACAAAUACCCUGGGUUACAUACCACCGCCAUCUUUGUUUUGAAGAAUCCCCCCUUCCACCCCUAUUCCUCCUUCUUUCUAGAUGGGUGACACAGCAAGAACUUUUCUGGUUCAAGGCUUUACCAAACCAGCAGACGUUUCUGUGCGGAGUUUGCACUUUCUCCCCGUGCUCACGUGGGUUUCCCCCAGAUUCCCCUGUUUCCU